rnacentral:lncRNA from 1 species
GAUUAUGAUGCAGCCCAAUUCAAGUUUUGUUUUUGUUUUGCAGUUUUCUAAGGUUGAAUUGCUCCCAAAAGGCUUGGAGAUCCGGUUUCUUUCACAGAAGGGCAAUUGAUUCCCUUCUUCAAAACAACUGAAAUCUAAGGAAAUGCUUGAAUAUUUUUACAUAGCUGUUUAUUCUCACUGAAUUCAGAAGAAGAGGCAGAGAAUAGAAAGAAGCACAAUCUGAUACAGUGCUUGACAGUCAAUCUAUAAGUGGCAGAGGGGCUCAAAUGCCUGUAAUGUAGCAGGGAAAUCUCCCCAUAGUGGCCUUAAUCUGGACGAUAUUCUUCAGUUUAAUAAUUCAUCAAACAUAUCUGUCUUGGGCUGAUUUCGAUAAGAUUGGACAAGGUGGUUUUGGGGUUGUUUUCUAUGCCAAGCUGACAAGCGAGGAUGAUACUAAAAUUGUGACAGCUUCUGGUGAUCAAACUGUUAAGGUAUGGGAUAUCAGGAAAAGAAAUGUACUGCAGUUCUAAUGGGCAAUAUAGUUAUACUAUUUGUUAGUAGGUGGAGUUCUGUUUUGAGCAUAAUGGUGUUGUUCCUGUUUGUUUAAGCAGAUUCUGUAUGCAAGCAAGUCUGCCAUUACCCUGAUCCUGUAACAAGGAAAACAAAAUCUAUUGACCUAUUGAAAGAUGGAAAAGAUCAUUUGGUUAAAGCUUUCAUUUCAA